CAGUAGCCGCGGUAAUACGUAGGUGGCAAGCGUUGUCCGGAAUUAUUGGGCGUAAAGGGCUCGCAGGCGGUUUCUUAAGUCUGAUGUGAAAGCCCCCGGCUCAACCGGGGAGGGUCAUUGGAAACUGGGAAACUUGAGUGCAGAAGAGGAGAGUGGAAUUCCACGUGUAGCGGUGAAAUGCGUAGAGAUGUGGAGGAACACCAGUGGCGAAGGCGACUCUCUGGUCUGUAACUGACGCUGAGGAGCUAAAGCGUGGGGAGCGAACAGGAUUAGAUACCCGCGUAGUCCCUGUCUCUUAUAC
rnacentral:rRNA from 1 species